rnacentral:rRNA from 1 species
GAUGAACGCUGGCGGCGUGCCUAAUACAUGCAAGUCGAGCGAACGGACGAGAAGCUUGCUUCUCUGAUGUUAGCGGCGGACGGGUGAGUAACACGUGGAUAACCUACCUAUAAGACUGGGAUAACUUCGGGAAACCGGAGCUAAUACCGGAUAAUAUUUUGAACCGCAUGGUUCAAAAGUGAAAGACGGUCUUGCUGCCACUUAUAGAUGGAUCUCGGCUGCAUUAGCUAGUUGGUAAGGUAACGGCUUACCAAGGCAACGAUGCAUAGCCGACCUGUGAGAGUGAUAGGCCGCACUAGAACUGGAACACGGUCCAGGCGCCUACGAGAGGCAGCAGAAGGCAACCUGCCGCAAUGGGCGAGAACAUUACAGAACAACGCCACGUGAGUGAUAGAAGUCUUCGGAUCGUAAAACUCUGUUAUUAGGGAAAAACAUAUGUGUAAGUUAAUGUACACAUCUUGACGGUACCUAAUCAGAAAGCCACGGCUAACUACGUG